ACUCCUACGGGAGGCAGCAGUGGGAAUAUUGCACAAUGGGCGGAAGCCUGAUGCAGCAACGCCGCGUGCGGGAUGACGGCCUUCGGGUUGUAAACCGCUUUCGCCUGUGACGAAGCGUGAGUGACGGUAAUGGGUAAAGAAGCACCGGCUAACUACGUGCCAGCAGCCGCGGUGAUACGUAGGGUGCGAGCGUUGUCCGGAUUUAUUGGGCGUAAAGCGCGCGUAGGCGGAUUGGAAAGUUGGGGGUGAAAUCCCAGGGCUCAACCCUGGAACUGCCUCCAAAACUCCCAGUCUUGAGUUCGAGAGAGGUGAGUGGAAUUCCGAGUGUAGAGGUGAAAUUCGUAGAUAUUCGGAGGAACACCAGUGGCGAAGGCGGCUCACUGGCUCGAUACUGACGCUGAGGUGCGAAAGUGUGGGGAGCAAACAGGAUUAGAUACCCUGGUAGGCUCUGCU
rnacentral:rRNA from 1 species